AGUGGAGCAUCCAUGAGUAAAGUGGCGCACGGGUGAGUAACACGUGACUAACCUACCCUUGAGUGGGGGAUAACCUAGGGAAACCUGGGCUAAUACCGCAUAAUACCUACGGGUCAAAGGAGCAAUUCGCUCGAGGAGGGGGUCGCGGCCGAUUAGUUAGUUGGCGGGGUAAUGGCCCACCAAGACUGUGAUCGGUAUCCGGCCUGAGAGGGCGCACGGACACACUGGAACUGAAACACGGUCCAGACUCCUACGGGAGGCAGCAGUGGGGAAUUUUGCGCAAUGGGGGAAACCCUGACGCAGCAACGCCGCGUGGAGGAUGAAGUCCUUCGGGACGUAAACUCCUUUCGAUCGGGACGAUUAUGACGGUACCGGAAGAAGAAGCCCCGGCUAACUUCGUGCCAGCAGCCGCGGUAAUACGAGGGGGGCGAGCGUUGUUCGGAAUUAUUGGGCGUAAAGGGUGCGUAGGCGGUUUGGUAAGUCUUGUGUGAAAUCUCUGGGCUCAACUCACAGUCUGCACGAGAAACUGCCGGGCUUGAGUAUGGGAGAGGUGAGUGGAAUUCCUGGUGUAGCGGUGAAAUGCGUAGAUAUCAGGAGGAACACCUGUGGCGAAAGCGGCUCACUGGGCCAUAACUGACGCUGAUGCACGAAAGCUAGGGGAGCAAACAGGAUU
rnacentral:rRNA from 1 species